AAAAAAUGUAGAUAUAUCAUGAAUAACUUGUUAGAGGUUGGUUGCAGAGAAAGUGUAGUCUCCAUUGUAUGUUUUAGGCAAAUAGGAUUGAGAAGGGUGGUGUUUGCCAUAGUUGUGAGAUCUCAUCCUCCUAUACUAAUAGUGCAUGGAAGCUAGGACUUUGUUUUGCCAUUUUUUUACUCCCAUCACACGUAGUGCUAAUCCUUUCUUGUUCUAUCUAUAAUAGUUGUCCUUGUAAAUGAUUAAUAUUUAAAAAUUUCCCCCAUGUCACAGAGGUUUUUUUGCUAUUUUCACUAAUAUAAAUUGGAAUAGGAGUGUUGGAAGUCCUGGCAAAUUCUGGGCUGGAGAACAAACAUUAUGGGUAGAGGGGGUAUCUAUUUACCUUUCUACUAGUCAGAGUUGCAUAUUCUGUGCAUCUUAUUGCUACGUGUUUGCAAACCAUUUCUGAAUACAUUAAAGCAAAUAAUGUGUGGUGCUGUUUGGAAUUGUUUCCAAUUUAAUACAGUUUGGAAUCAGGAAAGACAUUUUACUGAAAUUUUUUGUAUUCUGAAUCAGAUAUAAGGUUUUAUAAGCACCAUUUCUGUCUGUGUUCUAAUAUAUAAGACCUAAAAUG
rnacentral:misc_RNA from 1 species